rnacentral:rRNA from 1 species
CCAGCAGCCGCGGUGAUACGUAGGGUCGAGCGUUGUCCGGAUUUAUUGGGCGUAAAGGGCUCGUAGGUGGUUGAUCGCGUCGGAAGUGUAAUCUUGGGGCUUAACCCUGAGCGUGCUUUCGAUACGGGUUGACUUGAGGAAGGUAGGGGAGAAUGGAAUUCCUGGUGGAGCGGUGGAAUGCGCAGAUAUCAGGAGGAACACCAGUGGCGAAGGCGGUUCUCUGGGCCUUUCCUGACGCUGAGGAGCGAAAGCGUGGGGAGCGAACAGGCUUAGAUACCCUGGUAGUCCACGCUGUAAACGGUGGGUACUAGGUGUGGGGUCCAUUCCACGGGUUCCGUGCCGUAGCUAACGCUUUAAGUA